rnacentral:rRNA from 1 species
AGUGGCGCACGGGUGAGUAAUGUAUAGCUAAUCUGCCCUAUACUGGGGGACAACAGUUGGAAACGACUGCUAAUACCCCAUAUACCCUUAUAACACAAGUUAUACGGGGAAAGUUUUUCGGUGUAGGAUGAGGCUGUAUGGUAUCAGCUUGUUGGUGGGGUAAAGGCCUACCAAGGCUAUGACGCCUAACUGGUCUGAGAGGAUGAUCAGUCACACUGGAACUGAGACACGGUCCAGACUCCUACGGGAGGCAGCAGUGGGGAAUAUUGCACAAUGGGCGAAAGCCUGAUGCAGCAACGCCGCGUGGAGGAUGACGCAUCUAGGUGUGUAAACUCCUUUUAUAUAAGAAGAAAAUGACGGUAUUAUAUGAAUAAGCACCGGCUAACUCCGUGCCAGCAGCCGCGGUAAUACGGAGGGUGCAAGCGUUACUCGGAAUCACUGGGCGUAAAGGACGCGUAGGCGGCUUGACAAGUCAGGUGUGAAAUCCUAUGGCUUAACCAUAGAACUGCACUUGAAACUGUCUUGCUAGAAUAAGGGAGAGGCGAAAGGAAUUAGUGGUGUAGGGGUAAAAUCCGUAGAGAUCACUAGGAAUACCUAUUGCGAAGGCGUUUCGCUGGAACUUUAUUGACGCUAAGGCGUGAAAGCGUGGGGAGCAAACAGGAUUAGAUACCCUGGUAGUCCACGCCCUAAACGAUGCACACUAGUUGUUGGAGUGCUAGCCACUUCAGUAAUGCAGCUAACGCAGUAAGUGUGCCGCCUGGGGAGUACGGUCGCAAGAUUAAAACUCAAAGGAAUAGACGGGGACCCGCACAAGCGGUGGAGCAUGUGGUUUAAUUCGAAGAUACGCGAAGAACCUUACCUGGCCUUGACAUACCAAAAAGACUCUAGAGAUAGAGUUGUGCUAGCUUGCUAGAAUUUGGAUACAGGUGCUGCACGGCUGUCGUCAGCUCGUGUCGUGAGAUGUUGGGUUAAGUCCCGCAACGAGCGCAACCCUCGUUCUUAGUUGCUAGCAGUUCGGCUGAGCACUCUAGGAAGACUGCCCACGCAAGUGGGAGGAAGGUGAGGACGACGUCAAGUCAUCAUGGCCCUUACGGCCAGGGCUACACACGUGCUACAAUGAUUAGGACAAUGAGACGCAAUACCGUGAGGUGGAGCAAAUCUAUAAACCUAGUCUCAGUUCGGAUUGGAGUCUGCAACUCGACUCCAUGAAGCUGGAAUCGCUAGUAAUCGUAAAUCAGCAAUGCUACGGUGAAUACGUUCCCGGGUCUUGUACUCACCGCCCGUCACACCAUGGGAGUUGAUUUCACCCGAAGCCGGGAUGCUAAAGUAGCUACUGUCCACGGUGGAAUCAGCGACUGGGGUGAAGUCGUAACAAGGUAACC